rnacentral:rRNA from 1 species
UACGUAGGGGGCAAGCGUUGUCCGGAAUCAUUGGGCGUAAAGCGCGUGUAGGCGGCCCGAUAAGUCCGCUGUGAAAGUCCAGGGCUCAACCCUGGGAUGCCGGUGGAUACUGUCGGGCUCGAGUCCGGAAGAGGCGAGUGGAAUUCCUGGUGUAGCGGUGAAAUGCGUAGAUAUCUGGAGGAACACCGGUGGCGAAGGCGGCAUCCUGGACCGGCAUUGACGCUGAGGCGCGAAAGCCAGGGGAGCAAACGGG